CAAGUACUCCUGAAGCUGUUGGAUUAAUUCGAUGCACGCGAACACCUUACCUGGUCUUGACAUCCACAGAACUUUCCAGAGAUGGAUUGGUGCCUUCGGGAACUGUGAGACAGGUGCUGCAUGGCUGUCGUCAGCUCGUGUUGUGAAAUGUUGGGUUAAGUCCCGCAACGAGCGCAACCCUUAUCCUUUGUUGCCAGCGGUCCGGCCGGGAACUCAAAGGAGACUGCCAGUGAUAAACUGGAGGAAGGUGGGGAUGACGUCAAGUCAUCAUGGCCCUUACGACCAGGGCUACACACGUGCUACAAUGGCGCAUACAAAGAGAAGCGACCUCGCGAGAGCAAGCGGACCUCAUAAAGUGCGUCGUAGUCGGAUUGGAGUCUGCAACUCGACUCCAUGAAGUCGGAUCGCUAGUAAUCGUGAACAAAUGCCACGGUGAUACGUUCCCGGGCCUUGUACACACCGCCGUUA
rnacentral:rRNA from 1 species